rnacentral:rRNA from 1 species
UACGUAGGGUGCGAGCGUUGUCCGGAAUUAUUGGGCGUAAAGAGCGUGUAGGCGGCCAGAUAGGUCUGGUGUGAAAACUCGAGGCUCAACCUCGAGAGGUCAUCGGAAACCAUCUGGCUAGAGUCCGGAAGAGGAGAGUGGAAUUCCCGGUGUAGCGGUGGAAUGCGCAGAUAUCGGGAAGAACACCUAUGGCGAAGGCAGCCCUCUGGGACGGUACUGACGCUGAGACGCGAAAGCGUGGGGAGCGAACAGG